UGUGUUAAAUGAGGGAACCAAAUGAAAAAAACGUUUUUGUAAAUAAAAAUAUUUUAAACUUCCAAAAAUCAAUUAUUUCGGAGCUUCGGAACUUCAAUAAUUCACAAUAAAUAGCCCUUUUGCCAGAAAAUUCGAAUCUUGCGAGUUUUUAUAGGAAAUUCAAUUCUCUACAACUUUACAGAAGAAAGUUUUUCCAAAUUCCAAACAGAAAUUGACCGAAAUCCACAAAUGGGCGAUUUUACAGGCUAUAAUCAAAUUUCAGUCAAUAAAUGGGGUCCACCGACAUGUUUAACAUGUUUUAAACAUUUUUGGUAACAAAAAUACUCCUCCUCCACAUAUACUCAUAUAUCCCACAUUCAUCGUAAAAAUAUCAUCGUUAAUAUAUUAUUAAAAUAAUAUAUUUAAAUGAAUUAUUUUAUCAGAAAAAGAUAAAAUAUUAAUUUUCAACAAUUGUCACUAUAAAAAUUUUCUCCAUCUAUAUCCACAUAAAAUCAAUAUUUUCCUCAUCAUAUGAAUCAAUAAUUAAUUAUUCACAAAUAAUAUUACAGAAUCACAAUAUUGACAACCAGGCAGUUCCCAGGAAAGAGGGGGCUUUCCAAUAAGAAUUUCUCCUUACUGGCGCGCAAUUAGGUGACCAAACCUCUCCUUAGACAGAACUUUCUAGACA
rnacentral:lncRNA from 1 species